rnacentral:rRNA from 1 species
UACGUAGGGUGCAAGCGUUAAUCGGAAUUACUGGGCGUAAAGCGUGCGCAGGCGGUUUUGUAAGUUUGUCGUGAAAUCCCCGGGCUUAACCUGGGAACUGCAUUGGUGACUGCAUCGCUCGAGUAUGGCAGAGGGGGGUGGAAUUCCGCGUGUAGCAGUGAAAUGCGUAGAGAUGCGGAGGAACACCGAUGGCGAAGGCAGCCCCCCUGGGCUAACACUGACGCUCAGGCACGAAAGCGUGGGGAGCAAACAGG